CGCGUAGGCGGUUUGCUAAGUCAGAUGUGAAAUCCCCGGGCUUAACCUGGGAAUGGCAUUUGAGACUGGUAGGCUAGAAUGUGGUAGAGGUGAGUGGAAUUCCAGGUGUAGCGGUGAAAUGCGUAGAGAUCUGGAGGAACAUCAGUGGCGAAGGCGACUCACUGGGCCAUUAUUGACGCUGAGGUGCGAAAGCGUGGGUAGCAAACA
rnacentral:rRNA from 1 species